rnacentral:rRNA from 1 species
GGGUCAGUAGGAUCGUCGUGCCACCGGUACGUACUGGUCUCACUGAUUCCUCCUUCCUGAAGAACCGUAAUGCCAUUAAUUUGGUGUUGCCGGGAAACAGGACUGUUACUUUGAAAAAAUUACAGUGUUUAAAGCAAGCUAACGCUUGAAUACAUUAGCAUGGAAUAAUGAAAUAGGACGAUCGAUCCUAUUUUGUUGGUUUCUAGGAUUGACGUA